UACAGAGGAUGCAAGCGUUAUCCGGAAUGAUUGGGCGUAAAGCGUCUGUAGGUGGCUUUUUAAGUCCGCCGUCAAAUCCCAGGGCUCAACUCUGGACAGGCGGUGGAAACUACCAAGCUGGAGUACGGUAGGGGCAGAGGGAAUUUCCGGUGUAGCGGUGAAAUGCGUAGAUAUCGGAAGGAACACCAGUGGCGAAAGCGGCUUCCUGGUCCAGCACCGACGUCAGGCACGAAAGCGUGGGGAGCAAACAGG
rnacentral:rRNA from 1 species